UUUUUACCACAGUUGAGGAAAGCGCACGCAUAAACGCCUCAUUCUCUCGACGCAAACGUGAUCAGUUCGAAAAUAUCAACGGACCGAAAUUGAGGUACAAAAUCGAGGAGAGAGAGGAGAAAACUCAAAAUGACGCCGCUUCCCUUAUUCUUCCCCGUUCUGCUGAUUCUUCUCUCCGUUGACUAUUACCUUGCCGAGGAGAUUCAUUGGGAAAGUGUGCCAGUCGAACACGCUGUCUGUAAGUGGAAGCGUUUCUUCUAACCGCGAGCAGACCAGUCGGUCUCGUUUGACAUGUCAAAGAGUGAAGACGCUGCCUUGCAUGUGAAGCCAAAUCGUUCUUCGCCUUCAGGAUUCUUGCCGUUUCAGGGAUCUGCACAACGACAGGGAGAUAGAACGCCAAGAGAAGUCGACUGUAUGCUUUGUGCAGACGGUUCAGCGUGUAUGACGCAGCGGCCUCCAGCAAGAGAAACUCAAGCACCGUGUUCAAAUGCGGUGGGGACUCUUGCUCGACAUGACAACGCUUAGAAGUGCUUUUUCGGAAGAAGGACAAGUUGGACCGGAAAUGAGGACCUAGGUGUGCUCUUUUGCGUUGUUGUUCACCGUUCGAUCAUUACCAAUUUUCGUGCCCCCGUGAGUUCAACGCUCAGGUAUGUUGAUGAUAACUGGAUAUGCGUUAAAAGGUACGUACUCCGGAGUGGUGAAUUGUUGUGGUGAAGUGAUUUGUUGCUGCUAUCUCCUGUUUCGUGAGGGUUCUUGUCGGUACUCAUAUACCGCAGGCAUGAGGGGCUUUCUUUGCAGAACAUUUCAGUAAACCAAGACUGCAGCAUUUUCAAGAUUGCCAUAACCAGCAUCAAUGCAGCUCUCAUGUCAACAUCAGCAUCAAGACAGCUCUGAUAGACCACCUCUUACUGUGUACGUUUUCCCCCCCCUUUUGAGACACCAUUGAAGGGCCAGUGGUUACGCAGGCAGGCUGGAUAUUAUGGUAGACCAUUUCCACCCUUUGCUUUUCAGGCUACAUUGCCAAUGACAGUAGUUAUGCGGACAGGCUGCAUAUUUCUGUAUACCCCUCUUUUUUUGUUUUUCAUUUCAGACACAAUUGGCAUGCAUUGGGUGAUGCAGGCAGACUGCUUAGUGCGCACCACUCGUCGUUUAGUCUAUUGAGGUGCUACAAGUGUUGUGUCAGUCAAUUUCCUCUCCGAAAAUAAAAUGUUGGGCUCCACA